rnacentral:rRNA from 1 species
UACAGAGGUCCCAAGCGUUGUUCGGAUUCACUGGGCGUAAAGGGUGCGUAGGCGGUUGGGUAAGUCUGAUGUGAAAUCUCACAGCUUAACUGUGAAACUGCAUUGGAUACUAUCCGGCUAGAGGAAUGGAGGGGAGACUGGAAUACUUGGUGUAGCAGUGAAAUGCGUAGAUAUCAAGUGGAACACCAGUGGCGAAGGCGGUUCUCUGGGCCUGACCUGACGCUGAGGAGCGAAAGCGUGGGGAGCGAACAGG